GGGAGCUUGCUCCUNGGAUCCAGCGGCGGACGGGUGAGUAAUGCCUAGGAAUCUGCCUGGUAGUGGGGGAUAACGUCCGGAAACGGGCGCUAAUACCGCAUACGUCCUGAGGGAGAAAGUGGGGGAUCUUCGGACCUCACGCUAUCAGAUGAGCCUAGGUCGGAUUAGCUAGUUGGUGGGGUAAAGGCCUACCAAGGCGACGAUCCGUAACUGGUCUGAGAGGAUGAUCAGUCACACUGGAACUGAGACACGGUCCAGACUCCUACGGGAGGCAGCAGUGGGGAAUAUUGGACAAUGGGCGAAAGCCUGAUCCAGCCAUGCCGCGUGUGUGAAGAAGGUCUUCGGAUUGUAAAGCACUUUAAGUUGGGAGGAAGGGCAGUAAGUUAAUACCUUGCUGUUUUGACGUUACCAACAGAAUAAGCACCGGCUAACUUCGUGCCAGC
rnacentral:rRNA from 1 species